ensembl:lncRNA
AUUACUAUAAUUAAACCCUCUGUGGCGUUUAUCAAACAGCUUAUUUGAUUUGACAAUGUGAGAUGAGGCAUCAUAAGAGGACUGGUAAACCAGCUUUUUUCACUGAUCAGACUGGCAUGCUCUCUGCCAGCUGGAGAAGCGGGAACUCUACGCACCAUGAGUCCAGUGCUGCUCUCCAGCGCUCUGUGUGCAACUGCAAUGCUGACAGAUGGCACUGCCCAGGAUGUUGGUUUCAUGCCAUGUCACAGUCUUUAGAGGGACGAAAGCCGUACUGUCUGUUCAAAGUGAACAAAGGCUUAACGACAAAAAACAUCACUGUAUUAACAAAGCUAAAGGGCUUAUCUGAACAAAACACACUUUUAGAGGUCUUAGAGAGGGGCACGCCGAGAGAAUCAGGUCUGUUACUUAAUGUUGUGUAUUACAUGUUACAUGCAUGGCUGUCAUGUGUGAAUGUCAUAUCUAACGUAGGCCCUUAUCUAACGCCUUUGAAUAACUAGCCAUCCAUAAUUAUAGCAACUGCGAUGACUAUUAAAAACCCUUUACUAGCAGAGAAAAUAAUGACCUUCCGUGUCGUUCAGUGCCUGUUCGUAUUGUAUUUUUUUCAAGG